rnacentral:ncRNA from 1 species
UAAAGGUUUGGUCCUAGCCUUUUUAUUGGCCCUUAGCAAGCUUACACGUGCAAGCAUCCCCGCCCCAGUGAGAAUGCCCUCUAUAUCAUUACUCCGAUCAAAAGGAGCAGACAUUAAGUUCACUAAUAAGUAGCUCACAACGUCUUGCUCUACACACCCCCACGGGACACAGCAGUGAUUAAAUUUAAGCCAUAAACGAAAGUUUGACUAAGCUAUGCUACAAGCAGGGUUGGUAAAUUUCGUGCCAGCCACCGCGGUCAUACGAUUAACCCUAGUCAAUAAAACUCGGCGUAAAGCGUGAUUAAGGAUACUUCUUUUAAUAAGACUAAGCUUAGGCUAAGCUGUAAAAAGCCCUAGCCAUAAUAAAACUGUUGUACGAAAGUAGUCUUAACAUUCCUGAAUUCACGAUAGCUAAGACCCAAACUGGGAUUAGAUACCCCACUAUGCUUAGCCAUAAACACAAAUACUUAACUAACAAAACUAUUCGCCAGAGAACUACUAGCAAUUGCUUAAAACUCAAAGGACUUGGCGGUGCUUUAUACCCCUCUAGAGGAGCCUGUUCUAUAAUCGAUAAACCCCGCUAUACCUCACCACCUUUUGCAAUAUCAGCCUAUAUACCGCCAUCUUCAGCAAACCCUAACAAGGCCAUACAGUAAGCACAAGAAUACUGCAUAAAAACGUUAGGUCAAGGUGUAGCCUAUAAGGUGGGAAGAAAUGGGCUACAUUUUCUAUCCCUAGAACAAUAAACCAAACGACAGCUUCUAUGAAACUUUUAGCCUAAGGCGGAUUUAGUAGUAAGCUGGGAAUAGAGAGCCUAGCUGAAUCGGGCAAUAAAGCACGCACACACCGCCCGUCACCCUCUUCAAAUUCUUUACUCUGUUAACAUACCUAAUAUAACACCCCCCCCCCCGAAUAAGAAGAGAUAAGUCGUAACAAGGUAAACAUACUGGAAAGUGUGUUUGGAUUAU